ACAUAUUUUAAUUUUUAAUCAUUUUAUAAAAUUAUAUAAAAUUACAUUUAAAUCCACCUUCAACUAAUUUUUACAAAUUAAUAUUCAUUUAAAUAAAUUUAUUGUAAUCCAUUAUAUUCUUAAUUAUAAUCUGCAUCUUGAUCUGAUUUAAUUUAUAUUUGAAAUUUUAAAAUAUUAUUUUUUUUUAAAAAUAUUUUUUUAACAACGAUAUACAAAAUUUAUAAAUUAAGUAAAUUUAUUCGUGGACUAUCAAUUAUUAAACAGAUUCCUCUAAAUGAACUAAAAUACCGCCAAA
rnacentral:rRNA from 1 species